CACAAAGAAGAAACACUAGUCUAAGCUUCUAUCGAAAAGAAAACCGAGGAAUCUCCAACUUCAUGCUUAAUCAAAUCAAGAGUCCACGGUUUUGUUUUCUAACCACUAUCCAGGGUCUCUGUAGAGUUUGAGACGGUCCUUGCAAAAUGUAUCUUGAACGUUUAACACAAAGAAUCAAAAGACUUAAAGCUACCGAUAGUAAGGCUUUGGAUGCAAUACCGGCCGUGGAACGAAACAGACGAAGCAUUUCAAAACAGUGUUACCUUUUUUGGUAAGAUGGAAAAAAACGUUUCUUUCAGUAACACGAAAGGUUAUAGUUUCAACUAUUCCUAAGUAAAAGAGUCAAUUUGCUGGAUAUUCAUAAGAGGUCCACAAAUGAAGAAUAUAGCCAUUCUACAGUGUUUACUCUUUGAUGUGAUAAUUAUAAGCAAAGUUGGACCACUUUCUCCUUAGCGACGCGUCUAUUGUGUAUAUGAAAGACAAAAAAUAAAACUAUACUAUUUUUGAAGAGAAAUAGUAUACAUCGAUCUAUAUAUUGUAUACUAUUUGGAGAAAAAGGAAGAGGAGGAGAACGACGAGGUAGGAAGAGAUCAGAGGAGGGAGGGAGGGAGGGAGGGAGGGAGGGAGGGGAGGAGGAGGAGGAGAAAGAAGAGAACGGGCGGAGGAAGACGAAGAAAGAAAGAGAACGUUCGAUUUCUAUUCUAUUUUUCAAAUAGAAUAACAAAAAAGUAUUAAAUUUGAGUGUGAAAAAUGAAUGUUAAGAAUCAUGAAACUUAUAAAAAAUACAAUUUGCAGAAGGAUUAAAGAGUGUUGCCAUGAAUAAUGAAGGAGAAAAACUACUACGAAAAGUGGAAGAGAGAAGAAGAUAUAUUGGGAAGAGGUAAGGAGAUUACGGGUGGCAAUGGUGGAAAAGGAGAAGAUGGUGGUGGUGAUGAAACAACUGAACGUGGCGAUGUUACAUGUGGGAUCUUUUGUAGUAACUGAUGGUGAUAGAAGAGGAGGAGGAGGAGGAGGAUAAGACGUGGAGAUGAUGUAACAAUACAUUGCAUUGUACUAUUUUAUGUUUAUCAAAUAGAAUAGUACAACACAACGCGUAUUGUUCAUCUUCUCCAAUAGUUUUACGCAUCCUCUGUUUCUUAAUCCAUAUAUAUCGAAAGUAGUAAAAUUGUAAAUCCAAACAAAGAUAUGAAGAAAAUUGAUCAGACACACUUGUUGGAUCAGAUGAUUGUACGGAAAUAAUUGGCAAAGGUGAUUGUGGUGAUAUUACGAAAGAAAAUGAAAGAUCAGAUAUGAAGUAGACAAAAUUAUAAAGAGCGAGAGAAGAAGAAAAGAGUGGUGCGUGUGAUAAAAGGGUAAAAAGGCAAUUAAUACACAAAUACACAGAAUAUCAUAGCCAAUGCAAUGUUAUGGUUAUAAACUUUAUUUCUAUUUUUCCUAUGAAUAUACGGUCUAAUUCCCCUAAGUAAAAAUUGGGUCGUAAACUAUUUUUAUUUAUUUUAAAAGUAGCACAUAUAGUGGGACAAUAUUCUAUUACUAGUAUUAUCCCCCAAUUUUAAUGUCUUCUAAACUAUCUGAAAAAUUGUAAUGACUAUCAAAAUAGAUUAUAUAUAUAUAUAUAUUUUUUUUUCUUAACCUAGAUAAACAUUCAUACAAAAACUUAGAAGUACUGAAACAAUUUCUAUGAUGUAGUUUUGAAAAAUAUAUACAACAUACAUGUUUUUGAAACAUUGUUCUAAAAAUACUAAGAUAUAUGCUAACACAUAAAAGUAAAUAUUAUAAUACUGCUUUAAAAUAUAAACUUAUUCAUGUUAACAUACAAAAUUAAACAAUUAAAUCAUUGACCAGAAAAAUAAAGAAAUAAUAAACUAUGGUGAAUUAGAAUUUAACUGAAAAUGUUUGUAUAUAAUAAAUCUAACAAAUAGAUAAAAGCUCGACAGUAAAAUCAAAUAGAACAUUUAAACAGAUUUUAGAUAUUACAGUUGUAAAUGUAAAUGUUGUUACCUUUUUCCAUAAGAAUAGCUUGUUACACUAAUAAUAACUUCAUCUUUCUAAUAGUUUAUUUUUUGAAACAAAACUUUUAUUUUCUAUCAUUUUGUGAAAACUUAAGCUACAAAAAUAGAAGUAUAUUCUGAUAAAAUCUUCAAUUUGAAUCAUGCAGAAAAUAUUGAAGAUGUAUGGUCAAGACGAAGCUGUAGUAGUUCAUGAAGCAUGACAUGAACUACGACAUCAGACGAGGAUAUAAGAGUUGGUCGAGUCGGUUAACGAGCAUUGAAGGAAGAGUUACUGAAGAAUUCAGCUUAAAGAAAGUAUUGUAGAAAAAACAAUCAAGCUUAGAGGAAAAGGAGAUUGGCUUAUUUGCUGAAGAAGCAUAUAUGGAAAGUUUCCAUUAGUUAGAUUUUACAUCUAGAGUUUUUCCUCUAAAAGUAUAAAGAGGGGUCUUGGCACUGUGUGGCCGUUUAACACACAGAGAGAACUUUUAGCAAUAGCAAGGUUUGCAAGUCUGAAUAAGGAGAAGCAAAGCCACUAGGGGUUCAGAGCUUGAGUGGUUCAUAGACUGCAUCAAGUCUGUGAACGAGUGAGACUAGUCAACAAGUCAAGGUUUGUUUUGAGCUUGCUUGAAGGAUUGCUUUUAAGAAGAACUUGUAUGUGCUUUUAAAAGGAUUAAUCUAGUCGUAUUUGUUGAAAAGAAAUAUCCAUGUGUUAAUGUGUGUUCUAGUUAGUGUAGCUUGAUUAUCUUACAUUAACAAGUGGUAUCAGAGCUGGUAUUUGUAUUUGUUUUAAACAUGUAAGAUCCUGCGGAGUAAGAUGGACAGCUACUGUGAGAUGUUGUCGCACUUAAAGGUGAUCCUUGAAGUGGGGAACUACAGAUUUUGGAAGGCGCGUAUGAAGGCGACAAUCAAGGGUAUAUACCAUAUGGCGUGGAAAGCAGUGGAAUCUGGGUGGACAGCACCUGUUGCCAGAGGCGAUGAUGGGAAAGAUGUACCAAAGGGAGAAGAGCUUUGGACCGAUGAAGAAAACAAGAUGGCAAAAUUCAACGCUAUAGCUCUUACUGUCAUUCACUGCAGUGUGGAAAGAAAACAAUUUGAGCUGAUUCGAGGUUGUGAAGCAACAAAAGAUGCAUGGAACAUUCUUCAAGUCCAUUUUGAAGGAACACUGAAGGUUUAAAGCUCCAGAAAAGACAUGCUUGUGACCAGAUUUGAGGAACUUAAGAUGGAGGAACAUGAAUCAAUUGGUAACUUCAGCUCCAAGCUUAGCUCGCUAGCUCAAAAAGCUCUCACUCUUGGUAAAAAAUACAAAGAGAAGAAGCUAGUGAAGAAAUUCUUAAGGUGUCAACCAGCUAAAUUCAUGCCAUAUAAGGCAGCGAUGAGCGUGUCCCUGAACACUGAGGAGAUGACCUUUGAUGAAGUAGUUGGGAUGCUUCAGGCUCAUGAGAUUGGAGGUAUCUGGUGGAAAGAAGGCAAAAGGGAUCGCACUAGCAUCGAUUGAGAAAAGUGAAGGGAUGGAUAAUGAUCCAGUGAGUUUGCUGGUCAGACGAUUUGACAGAGCCUUACGCAAGGUAGAGCAAGGACAGAAGAAGUUCAUCCCAGGAAGAAAGACAGCUGCUGAACCGGACAAGGGAAGCAAAAAGGCUGAUGUCAAGUGCUAUGGAUGCAAGGGAUAUGGUCAGUUCAGAACCGAAUGUCCAACAGUGAAGAGAAGAGAAUUUCAGUGUCAUGGGAAUCAAUGAUUGGAAUCAAUGACAGUGACUCAGAAAGUGACAGUGAGGAUGAGCUGAACAACUUUGUGGCUUUUCUUGGAAUAACUGACUUUGAGUCAGGCUCUGAAAGCGAUGCUGAACCAGAAAGAGAACUGGAUGAAAGCUAUAAGAAAGUUCGUAAAACAUUGAUCAAACUUAGUAUGGAGAAUCUCUCUCUCUCACUAAAAUAAAGAGAGACUGGAAGCUGAACUAUCUCUUGUUCGACUUGAACUUCAGAGAGAAGCUAAACUGGCUAAGGAGAGUGUCGGACUAAUAAAGGAAAAAUUAAUUCUUGCCAAACAAGUUGAAGAGCUUAUAGAGGAAGUUGUAGCUGAAAGAAAGGUGUCUGAGGAUCUUCAGGCAAAACUUGAUCAACAUAACAAAAACAUCAGGAUGCUCACUGGAACUAAACAACUGGACAAAAUACUGUGUGCUGGAAGAACCGAAAACUCACAUAUGGGUCUGGGUUACACGGGGAGGCAGUAUGGUGACACAGGUAAGACAAACUUUGUGUCAGGAGGCUAUGCACAUGCAGAGGAACUCAGCUCUAAGACAAUAGUGCAUCAGACUUCUGGGUGCUUCUUUUGUGGAAAAUUUAAUCAUUACAAAAAGUUCUGCUACCUCAAAUGGGUUAAGCAAGUAUGGAAACAACACAAGUUCUGGCGAAUCGAGAAAACUAACCAAGUCUGGAUGAAAACUGAUAUGUAUUCAAGAACAGUCAAUAAUGGCGUUUGUGGAGUUAGGUGUAACAUGGCACGUGUCACGGACGACUCUGAUUCAGAUGAACCAUGGUACUUUGACAGCGGAUGCUCCAGACAUAUGACAGGAAAUGCUGAGUAUCUUGAAGAAGUGUCAAAAGUUAAAGGUGGAAAGGUCACAUUUGGAGAUGGAGGAUAUGGAAUCAUCAAGGGAAAAGGCACCACCUGCAACUCAGACUAGGCAUGGGCAUUCGGGGUCCCAAUCGGGUUUCGGUUUUAUCCAUUCGGGUUUUGGUUUUUCGGGUUUAUCAAAAUCAGCCUCAUUCGGGUUAUAUAAAAGUUUGGUUCAUGACCGGCUCGGGUUCUAUCGAAUUCGGGUCGGAGUUAGUAAAUCUUCGAAGAACCGGUAUAACCCAUUGUACUUUCGGGUUCGGGUCCCAAUCGGUUCUUCGGUUUAAAAAUACCUAAUUUGUACCUAUUUUGUAACUAAAACAUAAAUGAAAUCGGUUCUUCGGAUUUAAAAUA